UACGGAGGGGGCUAGCGUUGUUCGGAAUUACUGGGCGUAAAGCGCACGUAGGCGGAUUGGAAAGUUGGGGGUGAAAUCCCAGGGCUCAACCCUGGAACUGCCUUCAAAACUCCCAGUCUGGAGGUCGAGAGAGGUGAGUGGAAUUCCGAGUGUAGAGGUGAAAUUCGUAGAUAUUCGCAAGAACACCAGUGGCGAAGGCGGCUCACUGGCCCGAUACUGACGCUGAGGCACGAAAGCGUGGGGAGCAAACAGG
rnacentral:rRNA from 1 species